rnacentral:rRNA from 1 species
UACGUAGGGACCAAACGUUGCUCGGAAUUAUUGGGCGUAAAGCGCGCGUAGGCGGUUACUUAAGUCGGAUGUGAAAGCCCUCGGCUUAACUGAGGAAGUGCACCCGAAACUGAGUAGCUAGAGUACGAAAGAGGGUCGCGGAAUUCCCGGUGUAGAGGUGAAAUUCGUAGAUAUCGGGAGGAACACCGGUGGCGAAGGCGGCGACCUGGGUCGAGACUGACGCUGAGGCGCGAAAGCGUGGGGAGCAAACAGG